rnacentral:lncRNA from 1 species
CAUGGAGACGGGAAGCUGGCUGCAGCGGCGGCGGGGACCGUGGGGCCGAGGUGGCUGCCAGCCGGCCAAUGUCUAAGCGAGGCGGAGCGGCCCAGGCGGCCCGAGCCUGGGGGAGCGCGCAGCCGGCCAGUGGCGGCCUCGCCGGCGGCCUCUUCCCGGGCUCGCAGUAGGCCCGAGUCGUCGCCGGGAGCUCCUGGGAGCAGCGUCCCCGCCCUGCUCCCCUCGCUCCCGCCUCUUGCGGCCCCACGGCCCCUCAGCGCCCGCCCCCGGCUCCGCCCGCCGCAGCCGCAGCCCCUGGCGCUAACGGUCGGUAACGGCCCGCGCGCGCCGCCCGCCGGGGGCUCGCGCCAGCCACGAGGGAGCGUCCGCGGCCCGCGCGCCCGCGCGGCGGAGGAGAGGUGUUAAGUGUGAUGCUUCCAUAAUACAUUUGGAUGCUGUCAGCUAAGUUCACUUCUGAACUAAGGGGUUCCUCCAAAUGUUGGCUGAAAUUCAUCCCAAGGCUGGUCUGCAAAGUCUGCAAUUCAUAAUGGAGCUACUGUACUGGCUAUUGGAAGGAGGAGAUUCUGAAGAUAAGGAGGUAAAACCUGUUUAGAAAUUAAAAAUGAGUUACGAUUUAAAGAAAAUUCAGAUGACUCAUUGUGAGUGCUAGUUCUCUUGUAGGAUGCCACUGGAAAUGUUGAAAUGAAAAAUAUUCAGCCGUUGGUCUUUGAAAUUUCCUGUGAUGUGUUUCAAUCUAGAUGCAAAGAACAUGGAAAAAUCAAAGUGCUCGAGUGGUUUAAAUAUGUUUUGGGUAUUCCUGUUUAUAGACUAUAAUACUUUUCCAAUUAAAAUCCUCAGUUGUCACGCAGAAGAAGGUUAAGCUGUAUUUGAUUGCCAGUUUUACUGAAAAUGCUUAGUAUUUUACAGUAUCACCAAAUAUAUUUUGUUUAGCCAAGGUAUAGGAAAAAUAAAAUAAAUUGUAUAGGUUGACUUUUUUCUAAAAUGUCUUUAUUGGAUUGAAUGAAUGUUUAUACCUGAAAAAAAAAGGUUCAAAA